rnacentral:rRNA from 1 species
AUUGAACGCUGGCGGCAUGCUUUACACAUGCAAGUCGGACGGCAGCACAGAGAAGCUUGCUUCUUGGGUGGCGAGUGGCGAACGGGUGAGUAAUAUAUCGGAACGUACCGAGUAAUGGGGGAUAACUAAUCGAAAGAUUAGCUAAUACCGCAUAUUCCCUGAGGAGGAAAGCAGGGGACCUUCGGGCCUUGCGUUAUUCGAGCGGCCGAUAUCUGAUUAGCUAGUUGGUGGGGUAAAGGCCUACCAAGGCGACGAUCAGUAGCGGGUCUGAGAGGAUGAUCCGCCACACUGGGACUGAGACACGGCCCAGACUCCUACGGGAGGCAGCAGUGGGGAAUUUUGGACAAUGGGCGCAAGCCUGAUCCAGCCAUGCCGCGUGUCUGAAGAAGGCCUUCGGGUUGUAAAGGACUUUUGUCAGGGAAGAAAAGGCUGUUGCUAAUAUCGACAGCUGAUGACGGUACCUGAAGAAUAAGCACCGGCUAACUACGUGCCAGCAGCCGCGGUAAUACGUAGGGUGCGAGCGUUAAUCGGAAUUACUGGGCGUAAAGCGAGCGCAGACGGUUACUUAAGCAGGAUGUGAAAUCCCCGGGCUCAACCUGGGAACUGCGUUCUGAGCUGGGUGACUAGAGUGUGUCAGAGGGAGGUAGAAUUCCACGUGUAGCAGUGAAAUGCGUAGAGAUGUGGAGGAAUACCGAUGGCGAAGGCAGCCUCCUGGGAUAACACUGACGUUCAUGCUCGAAAGCGUGGGUAGCAAACAGGAUUAGAUACCCUGGUAGUCCACGCCCUAAACGAUGUCAAUUAGCUGUUGGGCAACUUGAUUGCUUAGUAGCGUAGCUAACGCGUGAAAUUGACCGCCUGGGGAGUACGGUCGCAAGAUGAAAACUCAAAGGAAUUGACGGGACCCGCACAAGCGGUGGAUGAUGUGGAUUAAUUCGAUGCAACGCGAAGAACCUUACCUGGUCUUGACAUG